rnacentral:rRNA from 1 species
UACGUAGGGGGCAAGCGUUGUCCGGAAUCAUUGGGCGUAAAGAGCGUGUAGGCGGCCCGGUAAGUCCGCCGUGAAAGUCCAGGGCUCAACCCUGGGAUGCCGGUGGAUACUGUCGGGCUCGAGUCCGGAAGAGGCGAGUGGAAUUCCUGGUGUAGCGGUGAAAUGCGCAGAUAUCAGGAGGAACACCAAUGGCGAAGGCAGCUCGCUGGGACGUGACUGACGCUGAGACGCGAAAGCGUGGGGAGCAAACAGG